GCCAUCUUCCUGGGAUGGGGAAGUCACCAGUUAAGAGUGAGGACCGCACAAUGAGCAUUUUCACUCUGGGGAGCCAUCAGGGAGGAUCAGCAGAGGCGCACUGCUUUCUGCCUGAACUGAGGGAAGCCAGCACCACUCCAUUCUUCCCAGUCCGUUUCCCUGAGAAGUCAGGAUGCACCGGGCAAAGGAGAGAUGACUCACAGUGAACGUGAAUCUCAAAUGGGCCCUCUAAGACACACGGAACACUCAAGAAAAGGAAUCUCAACAUGGCCUCCGUUCUAAGUCAAUGCAAUUCCACAAGACAGAAGGAGACACCUCUUCUCUACUGGAGAACACGUCACCCCCCUCUAAGGCGCUGUGUGGUGUUUCCGCCUGGUGACCGUGUCCUUGUACCAGCCACGCACAGGGUGGAGGGUAAGGUAGGUCCUCUGGGGCACUAGGCGUGGCUGGAAAUGAGGAAUGAGGCAGAAAGGAGGCCUCCCUGGGAUGGGUGCUGGGGAACUUUACUGUCUCCACCAGCUGAGCUUUCAGUAAAAGGAGUUGGCGCUCUCUGCUAGCCCAGGACGGAUCCACAGAA